rnacentral:rRNA from 1 species
CCUACGGGAGGCAGCAGUAGGGAAUAUUGCUCAAUGGCGGAAACCCUGAAGCAGCCACGCCGCGUGGAGGAUGAAGGUCUUCGGAUUGUAAACCCCUUUUGUUAGAGAAGAAAAUGACGGUACCUAACGAAUAAGCACCGUCUAACUCCGUGCAAGAAGCCGCGGUAAUAUGGAGGGAGCCAGCGUUAUACGGAAUCACUGGGCGUAAAGAGCGCGUAGGCGGGAUAGCAAGUCAGGUGUGAAAUACUAGGGCUUAACCAUAGAACUGCAUUUGAAACUGUUAUUCUUGAGUAUGGGAGAGGUAGGUGGAAUUCUUGGUGUAGGGGUGAAAUGCGUAGAGAUCAAGAGGAAUACUGAUUGCGAAGGCGGCCUGCUGGAGCCUAACUGACGCUGAUGCGCGAAAGUGUGGGGAGCGAACAGGAUUAGAUACCCCUGUAGUC